UAUAAUGAUUUACCAAUAUUUAAUUAGUGACUUUUCUCGCAGUCCAUUUAGCCUCAUCAUCUUUUGUUUCAUUUUUCCAUGGUUUCACCUUCAUUGGGCAUAUCUACAUGAGACACUAUGUUGCUGUAGUGACAAGCUAUGGUGAUGUAGCUCAUUGCUACUGUGAUGUUGCAUUGGCAGGCACUAACCAUGACGCUGCCACUACUGCACAGUAAGGUGAAAAUGACCCGUGUACUGCUGGGACUGGGCAGUACUGUCGGGUAACUCUGUAGGCAUUUAGUAUUUGGUAAAGCAUUGGUACUAAAUAACUGGGCAGUACCAACUGUGCAGUCAAGAGCAUGUGUAGACGCAUCUACUGAAACAGAAAUUAAUAUUCUUUCCUGGAUCUUUAGCUUCAACUUUUAAGUAUUGUAAUGUACUGUGAUGUUGAAUGUCAUGUACUGUCAUGUUGUAAAUUAAACUGAAACUCCCAGAAGCCUCCAGGGGACUGGAGGAAUGAACUGUACUACAACUCCCAGAAGGCAGCAGGGGAAGCCAGAGCACCUGAUUGGCUGUUGGGGCAGUGGCGGGGAUUUCAAACUGCGGCCUUUAAAAGCUGCGGUUUGAUGCAGCUUCCAGCACUCGGGAGCCAGGAGCAGUGAGGCGAGAGCGGAUCUAGACACAUGUGCAUCCCGUGCACACGUGUGCCCCCUUACUAGACCCGAGGCAGAGGCGGACGCAGCAGCAGCGGAGCCAGCAGCAGGGGCAGCAACAGCUGAUCCCCCAAAGGACCAUGCACACAAGGAAGAAGCACCCCGGAAGGUGCCCUCCACCGCUGAGUGGCAGACAGUCACAACCAGAACCAGGGUUGCUCACAGCAAAGCAGUACCAGUUCCUCCAGUCCAGAUGAAUAACAAGUAUGAGGCUCUGACAAGAAGGAAGGAGAGGAGGAAACCUCCAGUGUGGAGGCAACUCCACUCUCUUCAUGCUCCAAGCAGGCCGAAGGAGCCAAGCAGACCCGGAGGAGUUGAGUGAUCAUCAUAGACGACUCCAUCCUGAGAGUGAGCAGACAUAGAAGAUGACAUGAGACCUGCAUCAGAGAGACCAACUGGCAGCUUCGGG